UAUCACACAAUACCAUGAAUAAAAAAACACAAACACAAAAAAGGCUCCCUAAUUAUUAUCAACGCACUUCCACCUCUAAUCCUCCCUCCUAUUAAAAUGAAAAAAAAAACGCCUUUCACCCAUGUAAAUCACGAUCCAUUUAGCCCUAAACCAUGGAACCCAGUUAGAUAGAGAAAUGGAACAGCAAACAGAGCAAUUUGAUGUUACGAAAAUCACUUCUUCCGAAAAAUUAACUCUUCUUCAUUAUUCCUAGCUUCAAUAGCACUGGAAAGUUGUAAAAUUACUUUUCCCAGAAAAGAUGCGUUUGGCCAAGUAUUACACACCUCUCCAAGAAUUCGAGAAGUACAUGGCAGAAUACGAGCUUCAUCCCGACAUGAUUGACAAUAGUUGGAUUUGGAAGCCAAUUAAAUCGAAAGGAUUCUCAGAUGAUGCAGUCCAAUUUCCGGACUUUGCGUUUUCAACAAUGUUUUAACCACGUGCAAAACCGUGGCUAUAAGGUACUCAAAUCGUGGCUAAAUCUUUUAACCACAGUUAUUUAGCCAUGGUUGAAAGCGUGUCCAACAAGGGCGUUGCCAGAAAAUUCGCCAUAGUUUUAGUGUCCGUGGUAACAUUUCACUAGCCACGGUUAUUCCAAGGGUAAAUUUGUCAACAAGAAAUAAUACUUACCCAUAAACAAAUCGUGGCUAAUGUAGGCAUGGUAAUUUGUUUAUUUUUCAACUACCAUAUAUAAAUUAGCCACGAUUAAAAACCGUGGCAAAAGGGCCCAGCCUUUUAAAAAAACAAAUUAUAUAUAUAUUGCAAUUGUUUCCCAACUAAAUAUCCUGAUAGUUUGAUUCUAAUUCCUGUAUAAUGAUAGACACUCAACUCAUAAAUUGACCAUUAUACACAAAAAAUUGAUAUUAAUUAUAACAUAAUGAUCAAAGUUUUGAUAUUGUUCAAUAAAUUGAUCAUUAUACACAAAAGAUUGAUAUUAGUUAUAACAUAAUGAUCAAAGUUUUGAUAUUGUUCAAUAUAUUGUCACAAAUGAUAAGUUUCAAACCUUGAAUAUUCAUAAAAGAUACCACAAAUACUAAUGCUAAAAGAUAAAGAAACACCAUAUAUGUCGUUUGUUUCAAAAAAAUUUAAAGGAUAAGAAGAUUAGUUGAAAGUAGGCAACUCGCUACCAAAUUUAGCUUGUAAAAACCUAUGAAGAAUUGCCAAGUGAUUCUCAUUUUGCACAAGCCGAUUCUCGGUCUCCUCAAGCUUUUCUUUGGUCUCUUCAUAUCCGAUCAACUUUUCUCCCAAGGUUUCUACAUGUUUCUCAAGGUCUUCAACACUUCUAGAGCUACCAAGAUUCACAUGACUAAUUGAAUUUCUAGACAUUCCAAAAACCUUCAAAGGGCAAACAUUACCACCUAAACCACGAACACUUCCAGAAUGUUCAGAUUCAUACACUUUCCAAUGGCGUCGUUAGGAUGAGCUGGUAUCUUCAAAUGAACACCUGAACUAGCCUCAAUUAGUUUAUUGAGGUAACUACCUAACUUUAUUGUCAUUGAAUUAGUUUAUCUUUUUUUGGUAUAUCUUGAUUUAUGAAUACAAACAUAUUUAAAGGAGCAUUUUGAGUUUGAUUAUGACGUUGGAGUUCAUUGGGUGAUGCAAUCUUUACGAGAUAGGUGGAGGGCCUUUAAAUAUAGGUUACAAAAUGACUUCUUCUACUCCAACAAAAGUAAAGAAGAGCUACUCGAGAAAACUUCCAAAAAUGUUGAUUUUGUUGAUGAUUGGACUGCUUUUGUGCAUCACUAUAAUGAGGAGAAAAUGAAGGUAGUUGUUCUUCAUAAUUUGAUUCUUAAUAAGCACUACAUUGUAUUAUGAAAAAGAGUAUGUCUUUGUCCCUUUACCCUACUAUGCUAUAGAUUAACUGCAUAUAUAACCGGCUAGUGGUAUAACUGUUGUGUAAUUGGUACUUUAAAUUAGUACAAAUUGGUCAUUCUUUCUCCGAUAAGCUCUUUUGCUACUAUCUAAGUCUACAUAUAAUUGAAUUGAUGUUUGAGGAUUACAGAAACAAAGUGCACAAAAUGCAAAAAAACAGAAAGAAACUUUAAGUCUCUCAUGUUUGUGGUAGCAAAAGCAAUGCAAGGAGAGGUCGUCAAAUGGAGCAAAAAUUGGGAAGGCCUGUGUGUCGAAGUGAGGUUAUUUUGUCAACUUUACUGAAGAAGGAUGGCAAUUAUGUUAAUGAAGAAGGGAAGAUUGUAGCUGAUAAAAUAUCGGAGCAUCUACCUGAAGAUCAGGAACUUGCUGCUAGUUCAGGUGUUCCUUUGAAGAUACUAGCUCAUCCUAACGACCGUCAUUGGAAAAGUGUAUGGAUCUGUACAUUUUGAACGUGUGCGUGGUUUAGGUGGUAAUGUUUGCCCUUCGAAAGCUUUUGGAAUGUCUAUAAAUUCAAUUAGUCAUGUGAAUCUUGGUAGCUCUAAUAGUAUAUCUCGUCAACGUGUUGAAGACCUUGAGAAACAUGUAAAAACCUUGUAAGAAAAGUUGAUUGGAUAUGAAGAGAUCAAAGAAAAGCUUGAGAAAACCGAGAAUCGGUUUGAGCAAAA